rnacentral:rRNA from 1 species
GUAGGUGGCAAGCGUUGUCCGGAAUUAUUGGGCGUAAAGCGCGCGCAGGUGGUUCUUUAAGUCUGAUGUGAAAGCCCCCGGCUCAACCGGGGAGGGUCAUUGGAAACUGGGGAACUUGAGUGCAGGAGAGGAAAGUGGAAUUCCACGUGUAGCGGUGAAAUGCGUAGAUAUGUGGAGGAACACCAGUGGCGAAGGCGACUUUCUGGCCUGUAACUGACACUGAGGCGCGGAAGCGUGGGGAGCAAACAGGGAUUAGAUACCCUGGUAGUCCACGCCGUAAACGAUGAGUGCUAAGUGUUGGGGGGGUUUCCCGCCCCUCAGUGCUGCAGCUAACGCAUUAAGCACUCCGCCUGGGGAGUACGGUCGCAAGACUG